GGAUCUUUAGCUCAAAGGGUAGAGCGCUUGAGAAUGGCUCAAGUGAUGGUGGUUCGAAUCCACCAAGGUCCU
rnacentral:tRNA from 1 species